AUAGGGAAAGCAUGCAUGUAGACCCCAUCAAGGCUCCAUCCCUCUCCCCCUCACCCUGGCUGCUUCAUGUGACACAGAACAUUGCCACCCACCAAACCAAACAUCUUGUAAAAACAGACCAUGCUUGAUUCGGGCCUGCCAUGGGAAUGACGGUGGUGAGCCAGCCCUGCUGUUUACCAGCUGCAUGACCUUCUGCAGGGCAGUGAACGCUCGGGGACUUGGUCUCCUGACACAUGGACUGCAGCAGGGGUCAGAGGGGUGCCUCACCUCUGGCCCUUUCCUGUCUGUUAUUGUGUCAUUUGGGACCUGCUGCUGGCGCUGGGGAUUUCAGCUGCUGGAAAAACGCAGGUGGCGUUUCCUCGCACAGAGGCUGUGAAGGUGAGUCUGGGGCAUGUGCGUUCUUCUGCUGGACCUUCUCUGCCUUCUGGACCUUCAGUUUCCCCCGGACCCUGGAGUUUUACUUGGUGAAUUGCGCAAGAAUUCAGCAACACUUCAUCUCAUAAAGCUGAGUAAGGGCUCCGGUGACCUGAGAGGGAGAAGUUGGCCCUAUAGUUGGAGAGGAAACAAAUACAGAAUCCAGUUACCUCUGUGCAAGGAGGACUUCAAGGUGACCACCUGAAAGAGUGGGGAGCAGGACAGGCAAGGAGUUGAAGAAAAGACAUUGGAAAAGUUCAAAAUGGCAGUCAACCAUGGAACUGAACUGGUGGAAGUGAGAGAACAAGAGAAGAGGGGAGACGGAGGCUCCCCAAGGAGGACAGAGUUCUGUCCAGUCCAACAAUCAGGGCUUAAUCUUUCCGCUGCCUUGAUUUCGCUGACUUGGCAAGAACGUGAUGUUUUCCUGGCGCUGUUCCCUCCGGGGAAGCUCAGCCCUAAGAAAAGAAGACAUGAGGCCUUAAUGAACGGUGUGCACUGGCACUUCAAAGAACCUCGCAAGAAUGGAUGUGCUCAAGGCCCACGGGAGAGAUGAUGCCAGUGCCCGGACAAGCCUGCCCCAGGAUCUCAAGGUGUGCGGGCUCUCUGCCAGGAUGCCAGGAUUCUUCUCCUUUGCCCCUGACCAG